ACAUAUCUAAAGCCCAAACUGCCUUGAAAACGCUGUCUGUUUGGAAUCAGCAUGGCGGUUAUUUGAACAUAACGGCCUUGUCCCAGAGUUUAGACGUCUAGCUAUGUGAAAAGAUAAACAAAGCAAAGAUUUGAUAAAUGUACAUGAAGCAACUAAUGUCAACAUGGACAAAAUCAUGAAUGUACUAAUUGGCUUUUUUUGAUGAUGACCUGUCCAAAAUAAAAACACAUCUAGAAAGUUUUGUUUUCACAAUGAUUCAAUGUAGGAUUAUGAUAUUAUUGCAAUAUGAAAAUCUACAUUGACUCUUAAUUUGAUAUAUGGUUGGAAAAAGUAAAAAUGUAUCCAAAACUUUUUUCUUCUUAAAAAUGAUGACUUUUAUUAUUUGCUACUGUAAAAAGGACUUCAACUGUUUUGCUAGUCAAAUUAACCUUAAUGAGUGCAUAUUGAAACAUUACAUUGCUGGUAGGCAAAAAAUU